rnacentral:tRNA from 1 species
GUGGCUGUAGCUCAGUUGGUAGAGUAGCGGACUGUGACUCCGCCUGUCGCGGGUUCAAAUCCCGUCAGCCACCCCA